rnacentral:ncRNA from 1 species
UAUGUUAACAUGCGAGGUUAAGUAGAAAAAAGCGGAGCCGUAGAGAAAUCGAGUCUUAAUAGGGCGCUUAGUAUGUUGAUAUAUACCCGAAACCAUGUGAUCUAUUCAUGAGCAGGCUGAAGCUUGGAUAACACCAAGUGGAGGGCCGACCCCCCGCUUUGUUUUUUUUUUCAAAACAACGGACAACAAAUAAUAUUCUUCUCGCGCGGGGAGAACCCA